CUGAUUAAAAUGUCUAUUUCUUUCAGUUGUCGACUGCACGGCAUGCCAUUUUUUGUGGCAUUUGUCACUCCAGUUAUUUUAAUCCUCGCUGAAAAUAUCGUGGCUUUCUGCCUUAUUAUUCGAUCAUUGCUUACUUCCGGUAAAAAAGUGACCUCCAGCCGCAAAGUGUCGGGCUUGCAGCAAGCUCGGCAAGGGAUUGCGAUCAUGGUACUGCUCGGGUUAACCUGGCUGUUUGGUUUUCUCGCAAUCGACGAUGCUAAACUAGCAUUUCAGUGGAUGUUCUGCAUUUUUAACUCGCUUCAGGGAUUUUUGGUAUUCGUAUUAUUUUGCAUUUUGCCCGCUGGAACAAGAUAGCAGCUGCAAAAACUUUUUAGCAAAAAGAGCAAUUCUCCAC